UACGUAGGGUGCGAGCGUUGUCCGGAAUUAUUGGGCGUAAAGAGCUUGUAGGCGGUUUGUCGCGUCUGCUGUGAAAAUCCGGGGCUCAACCUCGGACUUGCAGUGGGUACGGGCAGACUAGAGUGUGGUAGGGGAGACUGGAAUUCCUGGUGUAGCGGUGGAAUGCGCAGAUAUCAGGAGGAACACCGAUGGCGAAGGCAGGUCUCUGGGCCAUUACUGACACUGAGAAGCGAAAGCAUGGGGAGCGAACAGG
rnacentral:rRNA from 1 species